AUGGCUUCUCGGCCUUUUGGCUAAGAUCAAGUGUAGUAACUUUUUAGCUUGAGUUAUUGUCUUCUUGUAAUUCAUUUGUAUCCUGGAUAAUAGUCCUUUGUAAGAUACAUAUUGCAAACAUUUUCUCCUAGUUUGAGAUUUACCCUUU
ensembl:snRNA U2 U2 spliceosomal RNA